AGCGAACGUUAGCGGCGGGCCUAACACAUGCAAGUCGAACGCGAAAGGUCUUCGGACUGAGUAGAGUGGCGCACGGGUGAGUAACACGUAGGUAAUCUACCCUUUGGCGGGGGAUAACGUUCCGAAAGGAGCGCUAAUACCGCAUAAGACCACGGAGUCUCCGGACGCUGUGGGAAAAGGUGGCCUCUUCUUGAAAGCUACCACCGAAGGAUGAGCCUGCGUCCCAUCAGCUAGUUGGUAAGGUAAUGGCUUACCAAGGCGAAGACGGGUAGCUGGUUUGAGAGAAUGAUCAGCCACACUGGCACUGGAACACGGGCCAGACUCCUACGGGAGGCAGCAGUGAGGAAUAUUGGGCAAUGGGCGAAAGCCUGACCCAGCCACGCCGCGUGAGUGAUGAAGGCCCUCGGGUCGUAAAGCUCUGUGGAGAGGGACGAAAACCCUGGUUUCAAAUAGGCUCCAGGCUUGACGAUACCUCUUUAGCAAGCACCGGCUAACUCUGUGCCAGCAG
rnacentral:rRNA from 1 species